rnacentral:rRNA from 1 species
AGCGGCAAAGCUCAAAUUUGAAAUCUGGCUCUUUCAGAGUCCGAGUUGUAAUUUGAAGAAGGUAUCUUUGGGUCUGGCUCUUGUCUAUGUUUCUUGGAACAGAACGUCACAGAGGGUGAGAAUCCCGUGCGAUGAGAUGAUCCAGGCCUAUGUAAAGUUCCUUCGAAGAGUCGAGUUGUUUGGGAAUGCAGCUCUAAGUGGGUGGUAAAUUCCAUCUAAAGCUAAAUAUUGGCGAGAGACCGAUAGCGAACAAGUACAGUGAUGGAAAGAUGAAAAGAACUUUGAAAAGAGAGUGAAAAAGUACGUGAAAUUGUUGAAAGGGAAGGGCUUGAGAUCAGACUUGGUAUUUUGUAUGUUACUUCUUCGGGGGUGGCCUCUACAGUUUAUCGGGCCAGCAUCAGUUUGGGCGGUAGGAGAAUUGCGUUGGAAUGUGGCACGGCUUCGGUUGUGUGUUAUAGCCUUCGUCGAUACUGCCAGCCUAGACUGAGGACUGCGGUUUAUACCUAGGAUGUUGGCAUAAUGAUCUUAAGUCGCCCGUCUUGAAACACGG